GAUGAACGCUAGCGGCAGGCUUAAUACAUGCAAGUCGAGGGGCAGCAUGAUUGUAGCAAUACAAUUGAUGGCGACCGGCAAACGGGUGCGGAACACGUACACAACCUCCCAAUAAGUGGGGAAUAGCCCAGAGAAAUUUGGAUUAAUACCCCGUAACAUAACGAUGUGGCAUCACAUUGUUAUUAUAGAUUUUUCGCUUAUUGAUGGGUGUGCGGCUGAUUAGAUAGUUGGCGGGGUAACGGCCCACCAAGUCUACGAUCAGUAGCUGAUGUGAGAGCACGAUCAGCCACACGGGCACUGAGACACGGGCCCGACUCCUACGGGAGGCAGCAGUAAGGAAUAUUGGACAAUGGACGCAAGUCUGAUCCAGCCAUGCCGCGUGAAGGAUUAAGUUCCUCUGGAUUGUAAACUUCUUUUAUAAGGGACGGAAAAAAGGCUUUUCUAAGUCGUCUGACGGUACCUUAUGAAUAAGCACCGGCUAACUCCGUGCCAGCAGCCGCAGUAAGAC
rnacentral:rRNA from 1 species